rnacentral:rRNA from 1 species
GUACUGGCUUUACUGAUUCCUCCUUCUUGACGAACCGUGAUGUCAUUAAUUUGGUGUUGCGGGAAAUCAGGACUGUUACUUUGAAAAAAUUAGAGUGUUUAAAGCAGGCUAACGCUUGAAUACAUUAGCAUGGAAUAAUGAAAUAGGACGUUAAUCCUAUUUUGUUGGUUUCUAGGAUCGACGUAAUGAUUAAUAGGGAUAGUUGGGGGCAUUAAUAUUCAAUUGUCAGAAGUGAAAUUCUUGGAUUUAUUGAAGACUAACUACUGCGAAAGCAUUUGCCAAGGAUGUUUUCAUUAAUCAAGAACGAAAGUUAGGGGAUCGAAAACGAUCAGAUACCGUCGUAGUCUUAACCAUAAACUAUGCCAACAAGGGAUCGAGAUGAUGUUAUUUUUAAGGAC